rnacentral:rRNA from 1 species
UACGUAGGGUGCGAGCGUUGCCCGGAUUUAUUGGGCGUAAAGGGCGCACAGGCGGUUCGGCACGUCCGUUGUGAAAUCGCUCGGCUCAACUGGGCGGGGUCAGCGGAUACGGUCGAACUUGAGCAAGCUAGGGGGCAAUGGAAUUCCCGGUGUAGUGGUGGAAUGCGUAGAUAUCGGGAGGAAGGCCGGUGGCGAAGGCGGCGCUCUGGAACAUUUCUGACGCUGAGGCUCGAAAGCGUGGGGAGCAAACAGG